GAUGAACGCUGGCGGCGUGCCUAAUACAUGCAAGUCGAGCGAACAGACGAGGAGCUUGCUCCUCUGACGUUAGCGGCGGACGGGUGAGUAACACGUGGAUAACCUACCUAUAAGACUGGGAUAACUUCGGGAAACCGGAGCUAAUACCGGAUAAUAUAUUGAACCGCAUGGUUCAAUAGUGAAAGACGGUUUUGCUUUCACUUAUAGAUGGAUCCGCGCCGCAUUAGCUAGUUGGUAAGGUAACGGCUUACCAAGGCAACGAUGCGUAGCCGACCUGAGAGGGUGAUCGGCCACACUGGAACUGAGACACGGUCCAGACUCCUACGGGAGGCAGCAGGAGGGAAUCUUCCGCAAUGGGCGAAAGCCUGACGGAGCAACGCCGCGUGAGUGAUGAAGGUCUUCGGAUCGUAAAACUCUGUUAUUAGGGAAGAACAAAUGUGUAAGUAACUAUGCACGUCUUGACGGUACCUAAUCAGAAAGCCACGGCUAACUACGU
rnacentral:rRNA from 1 species